AAUCAAAUGUUAACACUUCAGCAAAUAAAACUGAGGAAAAAGUUGGGGAGGGGAGGUACUCAACACAUUCUCUUGAUGAAGUUGCUGGAAUGAUUCGCAGUACUGUAUCUGCAUAUGAAGUGAAGGUUCACAACACCUUUCGUGAUCUUGAAGAAUCAAAUAUCCUUCAGUCUUAUAUGAGUGAUGCCAUAAACGAAAUAUCCAAAGCCUGCCAAGCUUUUGA
rnacentral:misc_RNA from 1 species